rnacentral:rRNA from 1 species
UUUUUUAUUAAUAAGCGGAAAAGAAACUAACAAGGAUUCCCCCAGUAACGGCGAGUGAAGCGGGAACAGCUCAAAUUUGAAAUCUCCGACGCUUGCGUCGGCGAAUUGUAGUUGCGAGAAGCACUUUCUCGGCGGAUCGGGCGCGCCUAAGUUGCUUGGAACAGUACGUCGCAGAGGGUGACAACCCCGUCUGUGGCGCGGCCGGCCGCUCACGAUGUGCUUUCGAAGAGUCGGGUUGUUUGGGAAUGCAGCCCAAAACGGGUGGUAAACUCCAUCUAAAGCUAAAUAUUGACGUGAGACCGAUAGCGAACAAGUACCGUGAGGGAAAGAUGAAAAGAACUUUGAAAAGAGAGUUAAAAAGUACGUGAAACCGUUGAAAGGGAAACGAAUGGACUCAGCAACGCGCCGUUUGAGAUUCAGCCGGUUGGCGGGAUCGGCUCGUGAUUUGCGGAUCCGAAUGGACCGCUUUCUCGGGCUCGUUCUUGCCGGCCGUCGCACUUCUCUUGGGCGCACGUCAACGUCGGUUGGGUCCGGGUCUGAAAGGUUCCGGGAAGGUGAGUCCGUGCUUCCCCUCGAGGGUCGCUCGUUCCGUUACAGCCCGGUUCUCUCGCGGCUCGGACUCGACCGAGGCGGUUUGCAGCGCAUGCCUCUUUUGGCUAGGGUCCCGUCCCUCCGGCCGGUCGUCGACCGCGGUGGACUGCUUGCAGUGCUCCGCGACUGCUGCCGGUCGUUGGGGUGGUGAUCUCGUACCAUGCGCUUAGGAUGUUGGCGGUCAUAUGGGUCCAUCCGACCCGUCUUGAAACACGGACCAAAACCCCGGAAACCUUGAACCGGAA